UAUAAGUUCCCUUUUUUAAAAUUCCCCAAUGGUUUUCCUUUGCAAUAAAAACAAAAUCCAAGCUGCAAAUUUUGGUCUUCAAGUCACUGAUGAUAAGACGCUUUUGCAUUUGUAAUUCCCUUUGUUGAAAGCUCCUCUCUGCCCACUUCAGCUAAACUGUGUGUGUGUGUGUGUGUGUGUUUGUGUGUAUGUACGUGUAGUCGUUAUUUUAAAAUACAAAUAAAUUCUGGGCUUUUUCCUGUUAGUUUAGAUUAGGAGUAACUAUAUGACUAAAAUGUAUUGCUGUCUUUGAUAAAAAUAAGAAAUGAUAUAGUUACAUAAUUUUUAAUUUUAUAAUCUUGCUUGUAUCCUCUUCUACAUCUACAUAGAUUCUACUGACAAAUCCAAGCUCUCAAAACUUAGUGUAUAAUGCUAGAAUUGUUGGACGAGAUGCUGUUGACUUUUCCCUCUCCCAGAAAGGGAAUGUUGUAAUAAUUCCUCCAAAAAGUGAAAUUACUAUCACUGUGAAAUUCAACAGUCGCUUUCUUCUUCCUGCUGAAGCUUCACUACUAUUAAUUUCAAAACCCAAGAAUGUAGUAAGAGGAAUGACAGUGACAUUUGCUCUUGAAGGCAAAGUCCUCAAUUUAAAACCCAUUUAUGAUUUUAUUUUUUUACUUUAGGAAAUUAUAAAAUGCGAAA
rnacentral:lncRNA from 1 species